UAAAUUUAUUGUUAUAAUAAUAUAACAUCAAUAUUAAACCUUCACGUGCCCUUCCACCAUCCAACACCACCAAAUCCCCUCACAUCACCCUACCGUCGCCCUUCCACCAUCCAGCACCACCAAAUCCGGCCACCGGACAUCACUCCACACUCCUGUCCCCCCACAACAUGCGUCAUCCACCGUGCCUCUACCGACAUCGACACUGCCCCUCCCAUCACUACCACCGGUCUGGCUCAAACCGGCGUCAAUCGACGUCGGCGACACAGCGACUUAGAGACGGAAAGAGGAGGCCAUGCAAGAAGAGAGGGACUGCAGGGUUUUGGGAAGGGUUAUCCGGUUAGGGUUCUGACAACUCUGUAUGCUACACAAGGCGGCGGCGUCGGAGAUCCUACGGCAUGUGUCCUUCGUCAUGGAUUCACCGUUUGAGAUCAAUACUCAACAGCAACAGCUCGCCACCGCCUUCCCAGAACUCUCAAUUCAUCCCCAGAUUCAACCAGCUCACAAAAGAAAGUGUGCAGGGAAUGAUCAAGGGGAAAGCACCUUUUUUGCGGUUGCAAACUAGGACAAAAACGCAACUGCAAUCCGUUUGUCAAGCAGCCAUGUCGACUAACAACAUCUCUUUUUCACAGGUUAUGAAACUAACAUACCCGAUGUUAGUCCCAAAACUGGCAACCACAACAAUUAUAUGAAAUCUAUAUACCUAAGAGCUUAUCAAUUGAAGGAUGUUCUUUAUGUCUGUUUCUAUGACGAAUAUAUGUGUUAUUUUCUAUGAUCA